GCGCAGGGCCGGCUCGUCCUUGGCGGGUCCGGGAGCGGCGGGAACGGGACGGGCGGGACCGGAGCCAUUGCUGAGGAACCCGGGGAUCUGAGGCCAAUCGAGACUGACAUAAUUGACCACAGUUUUGCAGUGGAAUGGAUGCAGGACUUUGAGACUUCUCAGGAUGCCCUGAAUCAAGAGACCUCCUGUGUCAGUAACCUGACUCGUUCUAUGGGUUUAGUGUUGGAUGAAUUUUACAGUUCACUGAAGGUCAUGUUUAUCUGCCUGUCAGGACUGUUGGAGCACUGGAUGGAGAGCAGGUCAUAUGAAGAGGAUUACAGAGUAAAAGGCAGCUUGUACUGAAGUGUAGGGAAAGUAUAAAUAUUGAUAUAUAUUGGCACAGCGCCUGGCCUUAAUGCUUAAAAUCCUUUGGAGAGCUGUCUGCAUAUUUACUGUAUUAAUGAUCAAAUGCAAGGCUGUGUUGGGAAAGGUCUUCCAUUUGGAAGUCAGUAGCUGAGACUGUCUUGCCUAUGAAAAAGAGGGAGAAUUUUCAUUAGAGGAUGUAGGAUUCUGGCUGGUAAUAGUCUUAAUUCAAGGUAUUUUUAGAUAACUGAUUUAAUACAAGCAGAACAAAUGGCCAGAAGUGUAAUGAGAGACAAGUUGAAAUUAGAAAGUAGAGGUGCAUUUUGAAUGUAUUGUCAUAGCAACUGAUUAAAUUCUCCCUCUCUUGCUGUUCUGGGGACCUUUUAAAUGUGCUUUGGCUAAAUAAAAAGUAUUAGACUAUUUCAGAGCCAAAAGGUCAGUUCUUGUUGUCUCUUUUGCACUUUAAUUCUAGUACACUGAUACUUGCUAACCACUUAUAACCCCAGAUGCAGAAUGAGAACUUGGGUUAUUAACAAUAAACAAUAAACUGUCCCAUCCCAGUUCCCCCAGUCCCUCCCCUGAGAAUCCCAGUCGCAGUCCAGUGCCCCCAGUGCCAGCCCAGUUCUCCCCAGUCCCUCUCCCGUGCCUUCAGUCCCAUCCCAGUUCUUCCCCACUACCCCCAGUCCCUCCUCAGUGCCCCAGUCACAUCCCAGUGCCCCUAGUCACACCCAGUGCAUCCAACUCCCUUCAAGUGUCUCCAGUCCCAUCCCAGUCCCUCCCCACUGCCCCCAGUCCCUCCCCAGUGCGUUGUGCUCCUUUUCCCUGUGCAUCCCAUUCCCAUCCCAGUCACUUCUCAGUCCCUCCCUGCUCCCUCCCCAGUUCCCCCAGUCCCAUCCCAGUGCCACUAGUGCUCCCAGUCCCACCCCAGUGCCCCCACUCACAUCCCAGUCCCUUCCCACUUCCCCCAGUCCCAUCCCAAUUCCCUCCCCAGUGAUCCCAGUCCUAUCCCAGUGCUUCCCUGCUGUAUUACAGUCCCUCCACAGUUCACCCCUGUCCUUCUCUACUGGCUCAGUCCUAUCCCAGUUCCCUCCCCACUGACCUCAGUCCCAUCCCAGUGGUGCCCCAGUGUGUCCUAGUGCCUCCCCAGUGCCUCUCAGUCCCAUCCCAGUGUUCCCAGUCCCCCCCGAAAAUCUCAGUCCCACCCCAGUGUCCCUACUCCCAGCCCAAAUCCCCCCAGUGCCCCCAAUCCCUCUCCAGUGUCCCCAGUCCCAUCCCAAUCCCUCCCCACUGCCCCCAGUCUCUCCCAGUGCAUCCCAGUCCUUUUCCAUGAUGCAAGAGGCACAGGGGGCACGAAAUCCCAGGGCAGCUGCACUGAGGUUCUACAAUUCGGUUGUUCUAAAUUAGAUAAUUUUCUUAGUGAGCAGUUUGAGUUGUUAGACAGCGCGGACUGCAGAAGCAUUUUUCGGUAAACUGAUUGUUUUUUAAUUUAUGUUAAAGCUCUUCUAAAAACCCUACAGCGAUGUGCAUUCGCUGCACCUGCACUGGGAGCUGCAGGGAGAAGCAGCUGGGGGGGUUUGCUCUCUGCCCCUUUGCCACCUUCCCCUCACUUCCCUGGGACUGCAGGGAAUCCCAGCUCCCCUUGGCUUCUCCGGGGGCCUCGCGGCAGGGUUUCGAAGUGUGGCCCUGAGAUUUUCUGGCCUUGGAACUGAUGGCUGUUUCGGGGCAUGGCUUGCCGGGGGAGAAUUGUGGCGGAAGAAAGCAAAGGAAGCCCAGAGCCUGGAGUAGGCAGGCCCGGGCCUCUGGCGAGCCCAGGCCUUGCUGCUCGGUGCCGAUUGUGCCCGGGGCUUGUUCGUCACCAUUCGGUUCCCACUGAGAGGGGAGCAAGAGGCAGAACAGCCCGCUGCUGCUGCUGCUGCUGCUGCUGCUGCUGCUGGGGCUGAACUGUCUGCAGUGCCCGGGGGCCGGGCAGGACUUGGCCCCGAUGCCUGCAUUGCUCUGCAGCGGCCAGGGAGGGGUCCCAAAAGUCAUCCCCCCGCCUGCUGUGCUGCACAGCAGGGGCUGGCUAGGCCGGUUCCCGGCCGGGGGAGCCCGGGGGAGGCCGUGCUGGGGCUGAGGGGCUGCUGCUCUCUGGGCCUCUCGGGGUGUGCCUUGGAAUCCCAAAGCCUGGGCCUGCGCGGGGGGGAGGAGGCAAAGGUGACUGUAAAUUGGUCUGUUGUGGAGUGUUUUGGGGCCGAGUUCAUGCUCUUGGCUUGUUGUGUGUCAAUUCCCAGCCUCGGUCAGGGCUUCGCGGGGAGCGUUGCUGCUGCCGCUGCCGCCGCCGCCGGGAGAGAGAAGUCCUUUGGGAAGCCGGGAUAAAAACAGCAACUCUGUGAAUUGCCCAGCUUUUCCUAGGGAAGGGCAGGUUUCAGGGAAGAAAGGCCCGUCCUCGCGAAAGGCGCCGCGGGUCUCGCAAGGGGGGGGGCGCGGCUGCAGUGCCGUUCCCGGCCGUGUCCGCCAGGCGGCGACUGCGAGGCGGCGCCCGGCGGUCGGGGCGGGCUGGGAAGCGGAGAGCUGGAGUGUUUUGGCACUGCCGGGCUUCUCCGAGCUUCAAUCCGGAGUGGGAGCUUUUUGUGGGACUGCACAGCGAAGCUGCCUGUGGGAAUGACCCGGCUAUUGCUCGGUGUACUCCUAACGACAGUGUCUUUUACUCCGUGUUCCCAGGCUCCCUCUUUCCCUUCGGUCGCCGUGGACACUGUGCCGGACGCCUCUGGCAGGACUAACCCCGGGGCUUUUAUGUCCAACGUGCUGUGCUGUGUGUGCCUGCAGCAUCCUGUCCAAGACCAAGCUACCUUUCUUUCCUCAUGGGAAUGGACCGGCCGGGCUUUGGCAAUCUGGCCCCUCGAAAGACUAAAGUGACCUCUUCCAGCAGGGGAAGACUGAAGCAAGGGGUGCCAGGAAGAACUGGAGUCUCUGGAGAAUAAAAGCUGGAAGCGUGCCCCCGAAAAUCCCCAGCCCCGCGUGGUCAGUGGUCUGACUUGCACGGACCGGUGGCCUUGGCCAGGAGCGGUCCUGCGGGAAGUGCCUUUGCCCAGCCUGUAAUUUUAAUUUCCAUUGGAUGCUUGGCAAAGCCCCCCUGGGUGAGCCCCGGUGCCUGGCAGGAGCAGAGCGGGCUUCCAGGGAGGCAUUCACCUGGUCAGCAUCAGGAACCAUCCUAACUGAGGCCUCGGCUCCCUCUUUCCCUUCGGUCGCCGUGGGUGUGCCGGACGCCUCUGGCAGGACUAACCCCGUGGCUUUUAUGUCCAGCGUGCUGUGCUGUGUGUGCCUGCAGGUGGUUGGUGUUUCUGCAGUGUUUGGCACAGGACUGGGGGAGAUUUUUACCCAGCUUUCUAAAGCUGUAGAUGAGUAGGAGAGACUGAAUGCACUCCCUUUAUUCACCUUUUCAGAGAGUAUCGGCCAGAAUACGAGCGCCUGAGAAAAACACUGGACAGUUCUCUGCAGGCACAGCUACACAGAGUUUGGCUUCCCGGCGCUGCUGAAAACGUCCUAGAAUCCCACCUGACUGGAGGUUGCUUUCCACGCUUAGUCAGAAGUUCUGUGUAACCUGAGUUGAAAUAAUCCACAUGUAAAUCUUUGUCUACGGGAGAAAGCUCAAAAUAAACAAAAGAGAGAGCAGCUGGAACACUUGUGGAAGGACAUGGGCAGCAUGUGUGUGCAGGGCAGCACAAUGGCAGGUACCUCCCCAGGAAGAUAAAGUUUACUGCAGAAGUUUUCUGAAGAGUUUGCCUUGUGAAGUAGUACAGUGCUUCUUUGUCCUCACAGCAGAAAUAUGAAAGCAGCUCCAUGUUAGAGGAGCAGGGCUUUAGUUCCUGUGGGAUUGGUCGCACUUAGCUCUUCCUGUGUCAGUCACAGGUUUGGAAGAAACCCCGCUGUGUAGCUAAAGCAGUGGACCUACUAGAAAUAAUGAAAUACUUUAGAAAAGGUGAAACAGUCAGAUCAGAAUAUGAGAAAGCUCUGCUGUUGGCUGCACUGUUCCUUAGAUGAGGCGAGUAGGUGCUGAUGGAGUCUGUCCUGUGUCUGGGAUCCACAAGCAGCUUUCUGUCCCCUUAGAGCAGGUGUUCAUUGCUGGGUUUCUGUGCAGACAGAAACCUUACCUUUAGCAAGCUGGUUUGUGUACAGCUGUUUCUGUUCCCUUCAAGGACCUGAUGCUUCUGCAAUGGGUCCCUCUGAGCUAAUACUAACACGAGGAACUCUCGAUGAAGAGCAAGAAGAGAGGGAGAGUGACGCUGAUGGCAUUGACCAUGAAGGUAAGGGAAUGAGGUCUAAAAGCUGCCUCUCAAGAAAUCCCCUCUAUAUUUCAUGACCUGGAUGGACUGUAAGGAGAGCCUAGAAAACAAGGAAACAUUCAGUCACCUGACGUGUCAGAAUCUGUAGCAGAAGCUCAGCUGCAAUGGUCAGUGCAGGGAUAUCACUCUGUAACCUUUGUGAAAGUUCAUUUGUAAAUUUUCUAUUCAAGUAAUUAAUAGGUGUAUAACACACAUAAACCAGAGAACUCAUUAGGCUUGGGGCAUGCAGUGACCUCUGAACCUGAUUGAUGCACAGAUGUGUCCAUCAUCUUUUUGGCCUUACAGUUUCUGCCCCUGGCUCUCUUCCCUUUUCCUGUGACUGUGGUCUUGGAGCAAUCUUCUAAGUUGUUACAGUGUGAUUUUUCUCUUCUAUAGCUCACAGACUUAAUCUUCAUUCUUUCCCUGUUCCACUGAUGGGUAGGAUCACUUAUUUCCUUUGCCCUGUAAUGUAGCUGAAGAUGGAAUAGA